UUAACUACUGAAUAAUGCUACCAGGAUGCUAAAAAUGAUGAUGUUAACCCAUUCCAGUACAGUAUUGUUUUAAAAUGAAAAAGUAUUUAAAACCAAGAACUCUGCCUUUAUGAUGCUAAGCUGAUACUAUUUUUUGUCUUAUCUCUCUUUUAAGCCCAUCAUCCUCUUUUUGCUUUGUUGCUAUCACCUUCCAUUCUCUUCUCAUUGCCUCCCAGGCAAGUAGCUGGUCAGUCAUUGUUCAGUGUCCAGCUUCCAAAGCCUAGACAACCUUGCUGUAGCCUAAAACUAAUUGUCUUUGCUCCAAAUAACUCUCUUUCCUUGAGCUGUUGUGAGCUUUGAGGCAGGUGGCUCAAGCUAGAGAUAAAACAGAACCUUCUGGGCAGUCCCCUGUUAAUUAUUUUCAGCCCAGGCUUUUGCUAGAUGGAAUGGAAAAGUAACUUCAUUUGACACAAAGCUUUUAAAUCAGGUAAAUUGUCAGGGGAGAGAGUUAGCAUGUAUGGAUGUAAGGAUGAGGGAAAUGAAGCAAGAGGAAGCUCUUGCCAUGAUGAGACAUGCAGCUGCCUACCUAACGAGGACUUCAAGCCCCACCACACAGCAUGCUUUCUUUCUCUCCUGGCUUGGGGUAAGAAGUGGCUGUGGAGCUUGGCAACGCUAAUCUCAAUGUCAUAACAUAUAGUUUAGGCUGACGAUAAAGAAGAAAGAUUUUAAGUUUGUAGUAAAAGUGGUCUCUGCUGGGGAAGGGAUUUUUUUUUUCUUUAAUAACAAGGAGAUUUCUUAGUUCAUAUAUCAAGAAGCCUUGAAGUUGGGUGUUUACAGAAUUGGUAAAUACAGCAACUCAUAUAGAAUUUUGAUGAUUCCAUGAGCUGCUCAUCAAAAUUAUUUCCUCUUUCUGCUCUGCCAUCUUCAGGAUAUUAUUGGUUGCUCCCCUCAUAGUAGUAAGAUGUCUGUGGCGUUUCCGAACAUCCAAAAAAAGAAAGAAUUUUAGGAGGUGGAGUAGGGUCAAACAUAAAAUAUAUAUACAUAUGUGCAUUGUUUAGAACAUUAAACUAUUUCACUCAGAGUACUUCCCUCCCAAAGAGGGAUGUUUGAAAGAACUCUGAAGGAGAGAAGGAAUUAAUUGGGUUGCUAAUUUCCUCUCCACUGCUGGACAUGACAUGGAGAGGCUGUGGGACAGGAUCUGUAGGCAGCUUCUAAGAGAGAACUUCACAUAGGAAGGGAUCUGAGAACACAUUGCCAGGGGCUUGAGAAGGUUACUGAGUGAGUUAUUGGGAGUCUUAAUAAAAUAAGUUAGAUGUUAGGUCCAUUCAUUAAUUAGUUCCAGUUUCUCGUUGAAAUGACUAAAAGCUAGAAGGCUUCCCCCCACAUUGUUGUGCCCCUUCAUUCAUUUUUUUUUUUUUUUUUGGCUCUGUUAACAUCUACGCUAAUGUAUAGAACUGCCUGGGGGGCAAGGUUAGCAAUCUCUUCACUACCCUGAUUCUAGAUUCCUGGCUCUACCCUGUCUGUCCCUUUUCUCUUAGCAGAUCUUUCUCUUCCCUGAACGUUUUCUUCUUUCCCUGGACAGGCAGCCUCCUGUGUGUAUAUUCAGAGGCGGUGAUGACUUGCUGUCCAGGCAGCUCCAUCCUGCUGACAGAAUGCUCAGGGUCAGUGAACCACUGCUUCUCUUUUGAAAGUACAGCUAGCUGCCACUUUCACAUGGUCUCCAGAGUGUCUCCACCUACACCCUGUGCUCCCCUGCCACACUGAUGGCUCAAGACAAGGCUGGCAAACCCUCCCAGAAACAUCUCUGGCCCAGAGAGCCACUCUCAUGAGGCAUUGCCAAGCCAAGCGCUCACGUUGAAUCAGUGAACCAGCCACAGAGCAAAAGAGCGUUUGUUUUCAGUCCCCUCUGUCUGGGUCAGAACCAGAGAUCAGGUUGAAUGCCCCCUGCUUGCUCGGUAAGGAUGCUCCACCUGAGUCAGUGCUCUCAACUGGCAGUGCAAUACUUGUAGAAGUAGGAGAAAACAGUCCCCAUUGGGAAGAAGCAAGGGUAAGAACCCAAGUGCCUCACCUUGAAAUGAGGCCCUGUUCCCUGGAGUCAGGGUGGACUGCAAAGCUUUGGCUGA